rnacentral:rRNA from 1 species
GUCCACGCCCUAACGAUGAUUACUCGACAUACGCGAUACACAGUGUGUGUCUGAGCGAAGCAUUAAGUAAUCCACCUGGGAAGUACGUCCGCAAGGAUGAAACUCAAAGGAAUUGACGGGGUCCGGCACAAGCGGUGGAGCAUGUGGUUUAAUUCGAUGAUACGCGAGGAACCUUACCUGGGCUAGAAUGCUGCCUGACCGCUCCUGAAAGGGAGUUUUAUAGCAAUAUACAGGUAGUAAGGUGCUGCAUGGCCGUCGU